GCCGGGCGCGGUGGCUCAAGCCUGUAAUCCCAGCACUUUGGGAGGCCAAGGUGGGUGGAUCAUGAGGUCAGGAGAUCAAGACCAUCCUGGUUAACACAGUGAAACCCCGUCUCUACUANNNNNNNNNNUUUUUUUUUUUUUUGUAUUUUUAGUAGAGACGGGGUUUCACUGUGUUAACCAGGAUGGUCUUGAUCUCCUGACCUCAUGAUCCACCCACCUUGGC
rnacentral:SRP_RNA from 1 species